rnacentral:lncRNA from 1 species
CCGGCUUAAUGUUUGAACCUAUGGAGUCACGCAUACAAGUCAGACAAAGUAGAAAAGAAUUGACCUAUGUUUAUAUGUCCAAUUUAGAAGUACUUAACUUGAUUGAAUAUAUAAGCUAACUUGAUUGAUAAUCAAGUUAACGGUCAAACAUGAUUGAAGAGUUGACUAUGUCUAGCUAGCACUACACAUGAGGUUCAGGUUCGAUCCC